UCUUUUCAAGGGAAAUUUGUUUCGUGUCUCCCGUUUAAGAAGCUCCACAUCCACAUCCACAUCCAGCUUCAGCUCCAUCUCCAUCUCCAACUCCCAGUUCCCGCCGCUGACGUAGUUAUUGCUGUCGAUGCAUCUUAAUCUGCCCAGCCUGGCAUUUAAUCUCGUCCAUUGUCUUUCGACCACAACCAAUGAUCACGGCCAGGAGCUGCCAGUUGGGAAGCGGUGCUGGCUGCCGGCUGCUGGGUGCUGGGCAUCUGGUAAUCUCUGGGAGAAGGUGGGAGGAGCUGGGGCAGCGUGAGCGGUGGAAUCACAUUAGAUAAGGGGAAUUAAAUUCUCAAACGAUACGACAUGGUGGCAAAAACCGAGUUGGCUCCGGGAAAACAAUAAAGCAAUCAGCGGAUUUGUUCUGCAUUUGUUGCUAUCUUGAUUGAUUUCUAUUGGGAUGAUUGCUAUUUGAUAUAAAAUAUGUUUUUAAGUCAAAUAUUGAAGCAAAUACUGUGGCACUAUUUUUCACAGAAUAUCAUUUCAAAUGUGUCUUCUGUUUCUUUCUGACAAACUAGAUUUAAAACCUAUUACUUUAAUAAUCAACUGAUACUUAAAUUACUAAUUAAAAUGGUAGAUUUUUUAAAAUUUGAAA